rnacentral:rRNA from 1 species
AUACAUGCAGUCGAGCGGACAGAAGGGAGCUUGCUCCCGGAUGUUAGCGGCGGACGGGUGAGUAACACGUGGGUAACCUGCCUGUAAGACUGGGAUAACUCCGGGAAACCGGAGCUAAUACCGGAUAGUUCCUUGAACCGCAUGGUUCAAGGAUGAAAGACGGUUUCGGCUGUCACUUACAGAUGGACCCGCGGCGCAUUAGCUAGUUGGUGGGGUAAUGGCUCACCAAGGCGACGAUGCGUAGCCGACCUGAGAGGGUGAUCGGCCACACUGGGACUGAGACACGGCCCAGACUCCUACGGGAGGCAGCAGUAGGGAAUCUUCCGCAAUGGACGAAAGUCUGACGGAGCAACGCCGCGUGAGUGAUGAAGGUUUUCGGAUCGUAAAGCUCUGUUGUUAGGGAAAAACAAGUGCGAGAGUAACUGCUCGCACCUUGACGGUACCUAACCAGAAAGCCACGGCUAACUACGUGCCAACACCCGCGGUAAUACGUAUGGGA